UACGGGGGGAGCAAGCGUUGUUCGGAUUUACUGGGCGUAAAGGGCUCGUAGGCGGCCAACUAAGUCAUACGUGAAAUCCCUCAGCUUAACUGGGGAACUGCGUGUGAUACUGGAUGGCUUGGAUUUGGGAGAGGGAUGCGGAAUUCCCGGUGUAGCGGUGAAAUGCGCAGAUAUCGGGAAGAACACCCGUGGCGAAGGCGGUUCUCUGGGACGGUACUGACGCUGAGACGCGAAAGCGUGGGGAGCGAACAGG
rnacentral:rRNA from 1 species